rnacentral:misc_RNA from 1 species
UCUCCGUAGGUGAACCUGCGGAGGGAUCAUUACAGAGUUCGUGCCCUCGCGGGUAGAUCUCCCACCCUGUGUUAUUGCUACCUUUGUUGCUUUGGCGGGCCGCCCUCGGCUACCAGCCCCGGCUGGUACGCGCCCGCCAGAGGACCCCAAACCCUGAACGUCAGUGUCGUCUGAGUACUAUACAAUAGUUAAAACUUUCAACAACGGAUCUCUUGGUUCUG